CCGCGACGAGGAGCGUCUCGCAUUUCAAGAGGCAGGAGGAGAGGGAAAGGCUGGGGCUGAGAUUAUGGCGGGCUAGAGAUGAAGGUCACUGAGAAUGUUACACGUACCAAUUGAAAUUAAGCAUGAUAAACUAGAUCUCCACAAAAGCAGCCCGAAGUGGACAGACACCACACAUCCAGCGCUGGAACAUCAUGGCUAUUGUUAAAUGCAGUAUCAGUGCACUCCGCUUUGGUGCUUUCCAAGACGAGUCUGCAAGGUACGUCCUCAUCAAUUCAAUUUAAAGCGAUGGUAGUCAUUAAUUUCUUGAAGUAUGUGACUCUUCAAGCUGAUGCCUGAUGCCGAGUUAGAAGUAGAAAGUAAGAUCGUUAGCCUUGUGACUGCAAUGAGCAGAAACCGACAAAACAGAGUAGAAGUUCCAGAUUUAUAUUAUGAUUUCCUCGCAACAUAUCAAAGAAAAACUAAGUUGAAAAUUCUGAUGGCUCGAAAAAUGGAUACUGGGAUCCAUCAGACGAUGGAUCGCGAGGAUCAAUUCAAGAUAACAUGGUUCCAAAUUUAGGAUGCAAAUACUCUAUUCUACUACUUCUGUCACAUAGUAGACGAUCGGUGUUAUGCUUUAUGCUCCUAGUGGCAGCGAUAGGUGACAGAGAAAGAGGCAAAAUUGAGUGGAAAGAUAGGCAGCAGGAGAUUAACCAUCGAGUAGCUGUUGCUUUCAUUAUCCUGCGUGCACCCAUGUAUUGGGUUUUGAGUUUGGAUAAGGUAGUGCUGAUACGUAGAUAGACACUUGUUGAUAUCGUAAUACUUUGAGGCUUCUUUCAUUGAUAUAGAGUAGGGCAAUCUUGAACUAAAUAGCUUGAAAUGUGGAUUACACCAGUCCGAGGAGGGUAUUUUAGCCUGCAGGAAGCUUCAGAAGAGCGACCAACACUUAUAUUGUUCUUUACAUUUAUAUCCUCAAAAUGUUACACUGCUCACGAUGGAUACAGAUGUACAGUUCGUGAGCUGGCAUCUCCGUUUAGUCUAUUUUAUAUAGAUUGUCUAAUAAAGCAACUAGAUGAUAUGACAAAAAGACCAAGAUAACCUUAAAACUUGCACUCUUUUCUCCCCGGACCAAAAAGAAAGAAAAAAACGGAGGGUAAUUCUGUCAAAGCAUAAUAUGAUUAAAAAGCAUCCACUGCUGUUCUUCCUCCCUACCCUGCUACUAGUAAGCAAACCCACCGGCGAGCGCCCGUUCGCCGGCGGCCGCCCUCGGCCGGCGGCGCCCGGCCCGGUACUUUCCAUCGGCCGCGGCAGCGGCGGCCAGGGAGCAGUGAUCCCUCUUUCCGCUCUCCUCGUCCAUAAAUAUCUGCCGGCACCGGCACUCCUCGCUGCAGAAGGCUCGAUCCCCUCUGAAGUAACAUUAAGUCAAAGCAGCUAAGUAAAACCCCUCCAGAGAGAGAGAGAGAGAGAGCAGUGUUUCUGUUCCCCGAAUAACCCACUCAGGGACACUCCGGGAACAGAACGAACUGAAAAAGAGAAACUUUUCUUUUGUUUCUGACCUGUACAUGUAGAUAUCCUGGCCUUCUUGAAGUUUUCUCCUGCAAAGAUAGCAGUAUUCCAAGAAAGUGCUUCCUUGGGUAGAAGAAGAAGUGGGAGCAGCAGAGAAGGGAGAAGAGUUCUUGAGGACGGAAGUUUUGCUCACGAUCCGGGUGUAUUUUGGGAAGGCCCUUUGUUCUAAGAGAACACUUAAACCCGCCAUUUACUACUACUGGAACACGGGGAGGUGGAAUGCAGGCUUCUACGAGGAUCUAGGGCAUGGUCGCAGCCGUGUCGUAAAGUGUGAACUAUUGCAGUGACUAUGCACUUUGUGCUGAUUUGAUCGGAGGAGCUUGUCGAAUUAGUAAGUGAUUGAUACCCUCCCACUUGUGAUUGGAUGCUUCACUUGGAAAAAGAAUAGGGAUCAAAAUAGUUGGGGUUUGCCACAGGGAAUGCAAGCUGGAAAUCACUAGCACCUGGUUUUAGUGGUCUCUGUACUGUUUUUUAAUGCAUUUCCUGCGUGUUUUCACCUUGAUUUUUAGGGUUAGGUUUCUCUAUCAUACGUCUAAAAUUGCAGAAAGAGAUUUGAUGCUGGUAGGAUCCACUGCAUAUUUUAUUUUCCACUGAUCAACUAUUGGAUUUUUCCGGAUAUUAAAUUGGAAAUCCACUCUUAGAUUAAUCCAACUCGGAAGAAUUAUUAUA